rnacentral:rRNA from 1 species
AACGAACGCUGGCGGCAUGCCUAACACAUGCAAGUCGAACGAGAUCUUCGGGUCUAGUGGCGCACGGGUGCGUAACGCGUGGGAAUCUGCCCUUUGGUUCGGAAUAACAGUUGGAAACGACUGCUAAUACCGGAUGAUGACGAAAGUCCAAAGAUUUAUCGCCAGAGGAUGAGCCCGCGUAGGAUUAGCUAGUUGGAGUGGUAAAGGCGCACCAAGGCGACGAUCCUUAACUGGUCUGAGAGGAUGAUCAGCCACACUGGGACUGAGACACGGCCCAGACUCCUACGGGAGGCAGCAGUGGGGAAUAUUGGACAAUGGGCGAAAGCCUGAUCCAGCAAUGCCGCGUGAGUGAUGAAGGCCUUAGGGUUGUAAAGCUCUUUUACCCGGGAUGAUAAUGACAGUACCGGGAGAAUAAGCUCCGGCUAACUCCGUGCCAGCCGCCGCGGUAA